GUCCGUGAUGAGUAGCUCCGUUGGUGCGAGCGUGGUGCUGUUAACGCCAAGGUUGCAGGUUCGAUCCUCGUAAGGGACA